rnacentral:rRNA from 1 species
UACAGAGGGUGCAAGCGUUAAUCGGAAUUACUGGGCGUAAAGCGUGCGUAGACGGUUAUUUAAGUCAGGUGUGAAAGCCCCGGGCUCAACCUGGGAAUUGCAUUUGAGACUGAAUAGCUAGGGUGCGGAAGAGGGAAGCGGAAUUCCUGGUGUAGCGGUGAAAUGCGUAGAUAUCAGGAGGAACACCGGUGGUGUAGACGGCUUUCUGGACCGUAACUGACGCUGAAACAACGGAAAGCGUGGGUAGCAAACAGG